ensembl:lncRNA
UAGGCAUAUAUAUAUAUAAUAUAUAUAUAUUUUUAAAUUGCACAUAAGAUGAUUUAUGUUCUUCAAAGAGGGGAAAUGAAUGAGUCAUCAUAUUUUGUUAUUUUCACUGUCCUAUUAUUAGUGUAGUCUGGAAAGUGUAACAUUCACAGCUACUCCAUUCCUUAUAUAAACUUGUUGUGCUGAUAAGUUAAUCUUCAUACUCAUAUUAAAGCUCACUGAUAUGUAUCAUCAUCAAAGAAUAACUUGUGCAAACUAAUAUUUUCAGUCAUUGAAUGCUUAUUUGAGAAGAUAAAAGAUGUGGUGAAUGUCAGUAUACAGAAACAACAGCUUUCUGAUCUGACAGCUGCUGUCCAGGUUACAAAAUGGCAACUCUCACUUGCAAUACAGCACAGCCCAUAAACUCUGUAACUGAAAUAUAUUACGAGUUGGCAUCUCAGUUGGCGGUUGUGUGGUGAAGAUGUUUAAGACGUCUUUUGAUUGAAAUGUGAAUGGUUUGAAUAAGAUCAGGCAUAAAAGCCAAGCAAAAUCUCAUGCAUUUUCUUUGUCCAAACUUGCCCUCUCUACACCUUGCAGAGUUUACAACAAAGCAAUGCAUUUUUCCUCUGUCAAUCCUUUAAUGGAUCAAACGGUAAAUAGACUACUGGAGCCCGCAAUAAAGACUCUGCCUCACACACGUACUAGAAACAUAAGAUUCCUAUAGUUAACUCAUUCCUGUCCCCCAGCAUCCUACUGUGCCAUCUACCAAUUCAAAGCCUUUGUUAUGACAUCCAGGUUCAUUUCUGUCUGUCAAGCUUCUAAGGCUGCACUUUUCAGGCAAGCUUGAAUCUGCCCUAGGAUUUGUGAUGUGUAGUAGUCAUUAUAUGACUUACUCUCUUGCUUUGGAUUUGAACACAUUUCAUUUUUUUUCUACUUUUUUUCAGACAAAACAUGCAUUUGGAUGAAGAAGCAUUUGCAAUUGCAUUAGUGUUUCAAUUGAGGAUAUUCGAUUGAAUGCAUUACACGCCUUUAAAUCUGAACAAUUCCUUCCUUUAAAGCUGCAUCAUAAACAACAUUUCCGAGUUAUUUCCUAAAAUGUAGAUAACACAAGUACUGUAUUUACUAGAACUCAUACUCAAGAAUUGUUUAUAUCGAAGAUGAGCUGCAGCGUGCGAGUGCUCAUUUAACCUUUCUGUACACACAAAUAAAAUCGGACACAAAAAAACACAAAAAAGAGGCACAGCUUGCUGCAGACGCAUGGAUUGAGGAAGAGCUCCUUACAGCUGCAGUUCAGGUUUCAGCCCUUCAUGCAGCUCACCAUCAUGGAGGGAUGAAGGGCUAUGGGAACAGGAACAGCAGGAAACAAAGGUGGCUUUGUGAGAGGGCCUGCACGUCUGCAGGACUGUGUUGCAUUCCAGUCAAGAGGAUUAGCCUGAUUGGAAAUGGUUUCUCCUUUUAACCUCGGCACGACAUCAGUGGUCAGCAACACUUAAACUGCUUUUGGAUUCAAAUGUUCCUGCACAAUCAGAUACAAAGACUGAGUAGAAUUGCUGAUAUCCUGUGAGCUAUGAGGGCAAUUUCCUUCCCCACCUGUUCAAACACUAGGGAGGCACACGCUGAAAUCACUAUGAAUAGAUGAAUGUGCUAUAUAGCUGUGGUCAUCCGAGCAAAGAUGAUACAUAAAGUGGAGUAUAUAUAAUAUAUACAUAUUCCAGGAACGUUUUGUGACGCACUUUGUGACGCACUUUGUGGCGCACUUUGUGGCGCACUUUGUGGCGCACUUGGUACCAAACGUGAAAGAAUAGUGGUGUCACCGAAUGCAGUAAUUAUGAAACAAACAAAAAAAAGAAGUACAACGUGUUACUCACCCACCACAUACUUGACAAGGGUAAUCCACAAAAGCCUUGCUAUGGCUAAAAGUUAUGACAUGAGGAAACGAUUUGACAGAGGAUCUGCGUGUAGGUCUGGCUGUAGUGAUAGCUUCCUCAAACUAAGAGAAAAAAACUGGAAAGCUGCGGACAACCUCUGGAUGGGCCCAAGUGGAGACAUCCCAGGAGCACAUCGGUUAUCCACACUAGCCCG